CAAGGAACCGUUUUUUGUAAGUUGUAAAAUCUUUAGCAGCUACACAUUCACUCCAUGAUCUGACAGCAACUACGAAUUCUAAAUCAUCGGGAGAGAAAUCGUUAUGCUUGGUAGCAGUAUAUAUGCAAGAAUCAAGUAAGCCAGGAUGUCUGAACACGUAUUCGGAAACACCAACCCAUAAUCGAAACAAAGGAGUGGAGCAAAUCAUGUGGUUUUGAGGAUGUAUCCCAAGUUUUGACCACGAAUCAACGAUAGCCAAUAUACUUAAAUGACUGUUCCUUUUAGAUUCAUCCUUUGGAAUGUUUGAUAUGCUAUAUUGGUCUAAUAAUUCAUCACUUAACAAAAGACCACUUGAGUUGCGAUCCAUAUUUUCACCAAACACAAACUUUCCAGCGUUGCGAAUGCGAUCCUCAUACUCUUUGGCCUUUCC